GACAGAGGGGGCAAGCGUUGCUCGGAAUCACUGGGCGUAAAGGGCGCGUAGGCGGGAUGGCAAGUCGGUCGUGAAAUCCUUCGGCUCAACCGAAGAACGUCGGCCGAUACUGCCGUUCUUGAGGGAUGCAGAGGAGAUUGGAAUUCCCGGUGUAGCGGUGAAAUGUGUAGAGAUCGGGAGGAACACCGGUGGCGAAGGCGGUUCUCUGGGCCUUACCUGACGCUGAGGAGCGAAAGCGUGGGGAGCAAACAGG
rnacentral:rRNA from 1 species